CUCAGUCAAGGCUAAUGCUUUUGGAAUCAGUGUUAAUAUUUUUCAAUCUAUUGGCCGUGUUGUCCUACCUGAAGUUCUUCAACUGCCAAAAGCACAGCCCUUUUUCUCUGAGCUGGUGGUUCUGGCUAACACUGACAGGGGUCGCUUGUUCCUGUGCAGUGGGCAUCAAGUACAUGGGUGUGUUCACGUACGUGCUCGUGCUGGGUGUUGCAGCUGUCCAUGCCUGGCACCUGAUUGGAGACCAGACUUUGUCCAAUGUAGGUGCUGAUGUCCAGUGCUGCAUGAGGCCGGCCUGUAUGGGGCAGAUGCGGAUGUCACAGGGGGUACUUGGUGAAAAGACUGCAAUCCUCAAUGUUUUAGAAGCAGGCAGGCCUGGGCAGCCUCGCCUCUUGGCCUCUGCAGGUGCCUCUGUAUGGGAGGCCAGAGUUUCUGUCAUUAACUUUUUCUAAGCUCACAAUGUCUAGAGGUGGGUGCGCUUUUCCACGCAGUGGAACAUGACUUUUCUUUGAAUCUCUGGCAGGUCUGUGUGUUCUGUCACUUGCUCGCCCGAGCAGUGGCUUUGCUGGUCAUCCCGGUCGUCCUGUACUUACUGUUCUUCUACGUCCACUUGAUUCUAGUCUUCCGCUCUGGGCCCCACGACCAAAUCAUGUCCAGUGCCUUCCAGGCCAGCUUAGAGGGAGGACUAGCUCGGAUCACCCAGGGUCAGCCACUGGAGGUGGCCUUCGGGUCCCAGGUCACUCUGAGGAACGUCUUUGGGAAACCUGUGCCCUGCUGGCUUCAUUCCCACCAGGACACCUACCCCAUGAUGUAAGAUAUGAGAACGGCCGAGGCAGCUCCCACCAGCAACAGGUGACCUGUUACCCCUUCAAAGACGUCAAUAACUGGUGGAUUGUAAAGGAUCCCAGGAGGCACCAGCUGGUGGUGAGCAGCCCUCCGAGACCUGUGAGGCACGGGGACAUGGUGCAGCUGGUCCACGGCAUGACCACCCGCUCCCUGAACAC
rnacentral:sRNA from 1 species